rnacentral:rRNA from 1 species
GAUGAACGCCGGCGGUGUGCCUAAUACAUGCAAGUCGUACGCACUGGCCCAACUGAUUGAUGGUGCUUGCACCUGAUUGACGAUGGAUCACCAGUGAGUGGCGGACGGGUGAGUAACACGUAGGUAACUUGCCCCGGAGCGGGGGAUAACAUUUGGAAACAGAUGCUAAUACCGCAUAACAACAAAAGCCACAUGGCUUUUGUUUGAAAGAUGGCUUUGGCUAUCACUCUGGGAUGGACCUGCGGUGCAUUAGCUAGUUGGUAAGGUAAUGGCUUACCAAGGCGAUGAUGCAUAGCCGAGUUGAGAGACUGAUCGGCCACAAUGGAACUGAGACACGGCCAU